GUGCAAGAUCUGCAUUUGGUGACAACCACAUCCUUGGACAAGCAGCUGUCUUUCACCACUUGAGGGACCACCUCUGAAAUGUCCUAUGCUGAGAAAAUAUUCACUGAACUAGAUAGUGCAAAUUGGACUUCAAGGACAGAUUCUAACACCAAGUCUUCUGAAAACGGACAGAAGUAAAGCUAAUGGACCUAUAAUUUCCUGGUUCCUUCUUCCAGCAGAGGUAUUAAAAAUGCUUUCCCAGACUUUCAUUUCUUUCCUCUGCUCUGAUUUACAAAAACCAUG